rnacentral:rRNA from 1 species
GACGAACGCUGGCGGCGUGCUUAACACAUGCAAGUCGAACGGAAAGGCCCUGCUUUUGUGGGGUGCUCGAGUGGCGAACGGGUGAGUAACACGUGAGUAACCUGCCCUUGACUUUGGGAUAACUUCAGGAAACUGGGGCUAAUACCGGAUAGGAGCUCCUGCUGCAUGGUGGGGGUUGGAAAGUUUCGGUGGUUGGGGAUGGACUCGCGGCUUAUCAGCUUGUUGGUGGGGUAGUGGCUUACCAAGGCUUUGACGGGUAGCCGGCCUGAGAGGGUGACCGGCCACAUUGGGACUGAGAUACGGCCCAGACUCCUACGGGAGGCAGAAGUGGGGAAUAUUGCACAAUGGGCGGAAGCCUGAUGCAGCAACGCCGCGUGCGGGAUGACGGCCUUCGGGUUGUAAACCGCUUUCGCCUGUGACGAAGCGUGAGUGACGGUAAUGGGUAAAGAAGCACCGGCUAACUACGUG